CGCCCCGCAAGGGGAGCGGCAGACGGGUGAGUAACGCGUGGGAACGUACCUUUUGCUACGGAAUAACUCAGGGAAACUUGUGCUAAUACCGUAUGUGCCCUUCGGGGAAAGAUUUAUCGGCAAAGGAUCGGCCCGCGUUGGAUUAGCUAGUUGGUGAGGUAAAGGCUCACCAAGGCGACGAUCCAUAGCUGGUCUGAGAGGAUGAUCAGCCACACUGGGACUGAGACACGGCCCAG
rnacentral:rRNA from 1 species